UCAACUUAAUGUGACAGUCCCCUGAAGGGAAUAAUACUAUUGUUGGUUAGACCUAGGAAGCUGCACUGCUUCCUGUCGGCCUUGACACAUUUCCUGUGUCCUUAUGUUUACAAGGGGGAGACAAGCACCUCCACCUCUCCCCUUUGUAAACGUAAGGACACAGGAAAUGUGUCAAGGCCGACAGGAAGCAGUGCAGCUUCCUAGGUCUAACCAACAAUAGUAUUAUUCCCUU
rnacentral:SRP_RNA from 1 species